AUUGAACGCUGGCGGCAUGCUUUACACAUGCAAGUCGAACGGCAGCGCGGGCUUCGGCCUGUCGGCGAGUGGCGAACGGGUGAGUAAUGCAUCGGAACGUGCCCAGUAGUGGUGGAUAGCCUGGCGAAAGCCGGAUUAAUACCGCAUACGACCCUAGGGUGACAGCGGGGGACCGAAAGGCUUCCCGCUAUUGGAGAGGCCGAUGUCGGAUUAGCUAGUUGGUGGGGUAAAGGCUUACCAAGGCGACGAUCCGUAGCUGGUCUGAGAGGACGACCAGCCACACUGGGACUGAGACACGGCCCAGACUCCUACGGGAGGCAGCAGUGGGGAAUGUUGGACAAUGGGGGCAACCCUGAUCCAGCCAUGCCGCGUGCGGGAAGAAGGCCUUCGGGUUGUAAACCGCUUUUGUUCGGGAAGAAAUCCUCUGGGCUAAUACCCCGGGGGGAUGACGGUACCGGAAGAAUAAGCACCGGCUAACUACGUG
rnacentral:rRNA from 1 species